GUCCAGCUGAUGAGUCCCAAAUCGGACGAAACACGCAUCGUGGAU
rnacentral:hammerhead_ribozyme from 1 species